UUUAAAACUGAAAGGCUAGUUGAGGGUGACUACACCCACCUAAAUGCAAGGCACUCCAAGUUGUGUCACAGGAAGUGCACGUUUAAUGUACUCAGCAGUCUGACCUAUCGACCUACGUUGCUGAUUAUCGACAAGUCUCCAAGAAGAAGACAAUGUGAAGAUGAUUGUGUUUUGGAUUGCACUGAAUCUUCUUCAUCAAGGAUAUGCACUGGUUUCACAAAUCACUGUUCAAGCUGGAGAACCUGCAACCUUCAUCUGUAGUCUACCUCACACAGAGGUCCUCCCUCGACAAGUCCACUGGUAUAAACAGAGUGCCGGGGAUACACUGAAAAUAAUUGUGACAGUGCGGAAAUCUAAACCACCUGAGUAUGCACAAGAUUUUCCUAAAUCCAGAUGGGAGAUAAAAAGCAACAGCAGUUUUAGUAACCUGACCAUUUUGAGGACAAUUCAAGAAGAUGAGGGAAUGUAUCACUGUGGAGUCUCCGAGUGGCUUGCAGACAUUAUAUGGACUGGGAUGCAUUUAUUAAUAAAAGGAAAAAAUCAGAGCAUUUCCAACUCUUCUGUUGCUCAGAGUUCGACAGUAUCAUCUGGAACUAAGCCAGACAUUCAUGGAAGCAGCAUUAUGGUCACAGGGUGCCAGUGA